GAUGAACGCUGGCGGCGUGCCUAAUACAUGCAAGUCGAGCGAACAGACGAGGAGCUUGCUCCUUUGACGUUAGCGGCGGACGGGUGAGUAACACGUAGGUAACCUACCUAUAAGACUGGGAUAACUUCGGGAAACCGGAGCUAAUACCGGAUAAUAUUUCGAACCGCAUGGUUCGAUAGUGAAAGAUGGCUUUGCUAUCACUUAUAGAUGGACCUGCGCCGUAUUAGCUAGUUGGUAAGGUAACGGCUUACCAAGGCAACGAUACGUAGCCGACCUGAGAGGAUGGUCGGCCACACUGGAACUGAGACACAGUGCAGACUCCUACGGGAGGCACCAGUAGGGAAUAUUCCGCAAUGGGCGAAAGCCUGACGAAGCAACGCCGCGUGAGUGAUAAACGUCUUCGGAUCGUAAAACUCUGUUAUUAGGGAAAAACAAACGUGUAAGUAACUGUGCACGUCUUGACGGUACCUAAUCAGAAAGCCACGGCUAACUACGUG
rnacentral:rRNA from 1 species